GAAUAGGCUUAGGGAUAGAAGUGGAAAUCCUUUCUCAGCGAAGGCCUGGGGCUCACAGAGAAAGAUUGAGAGCGGAUAGCCUGACCGAAA
rnacentral:sRNA from 1 species